UGGGGAAUAUUGCGCAAUGGGCGAAAGCCUGACGCAGCGACGCCGCGUGAGGGAUGAAGGUUUUCGGAUCGUAAACCUCUUUCAGAAGGGAAGAAACCGCACUGUGCUAAUCAGCAGUGCCUUGACGGUACCUUCAAAGGAAGCACCGGCUAACUCCGUGCCAGCAGCCGAGGUAAUACGGAGGGUGCAAGCGUUAAUCGGAAUUACUGGGCGUAAAGCGCACGUAGGCUGCUUUGUAAGUCAGGGGUAAAAUCCCACGGCUCAACCGUGGAACUGCCUUUGAUACUGCUUAGCUUGAAUCCGGGAGAGGGUGGCGGAAUUCCAGGUGUAGGAGUGAAAUCCGUAGAUAUCUGGAGGAACAUCAGUGGCGAAGGCGGCCACCUGGACCGGUAUUGACGCUGAGGUGCGAAAGCGUGGGGAGCAAACAGG
rnacentral:rRNA from 1 species